UACGGAGGGUGCAAACGUUGCUCGGAAUUAUUGGGCGUAAAGCGCACGUAGGCGGUCCAGCAAGUCGGGUGUGAAAGCCCUCGGCUUAACCGAGGAAGUGCAUUCGAAACUACUGGACUUGAAUACUGGAGAGGAUCGCGGAAUUCCCGGUGUAGAGGUGAAAUUCGUAGAUAUCGGGGGGAACACCAGUGGCGAAGGCGGCGAUCUGGACAGAUAUUGACGCUGAGGUGCGAAAGCGUGGGGAGCAAACAGG
rnacentral:rRNA from 1 species